CACGUAGGGUGCGAGCGUUGUCCGGAAUUAUUGGGCGUAAAGCGCGCGCAGGCGGUCCUUUAAGUCUGAUGUGAAAGCCCACGGCUCAACCGUGGAGGGUCAUUGGAAACUGGGGGACUUGAGUGCAGAAGAGGAAAGUGGAAUUCCAAGUGUAGCGGUGAAAUGCGUAGAGAUUUGGAGGAACACCAGUGGCGAAGGCGACUUUCUGGUCUGUAACUGACGCUGAGGCGCGAAAGCGUGGGGAGCAAACAGG
rnacentral:rRNA from 1 species